rnacentral:rRNA from 1 species
ACCUUACCUGGUCUUGACAUCCACAGAACUUACCAGAGAUGGCUUGGUGCCUUCGGGAACUGUGAGACAGGUGCUGCAUGGCUGUCGUCAGCUCGUGUUGUGAAAUGUUGGGUUAAGUCCCGCAACGAGCGCAACCCUUAUCCUUUGUUGCCAGCGGUCCGGCCGGGAACUCAAAGGAGACUGCCAGUGAUAAACUGGAGGAAGGUGGGGAUGACGUCAAGUCAUCAUGGCCCUUACGACCAGGGCUACACACGUGCUACAAUGGCGCAUACAAAGAGAAGCGACCUCGCGAGAGCAAGCGGACCUCAUAAAGUGCGUCGUAGUCCGGAUUGGAGUCUGCAACUCGACUCCAUGAAGUCGGAAUCGCUAGUAAUCGGAAUCAGAA